rnacentral:rRNA from 1 species
GAUGAACGCUGGCGGCGUGCCUAAUACAUGCAAGUCGAGCGAACAGACGAGGAGCUUGCUCCUCUGACGUUAGCGGCGGACGGGUGAAUAACACGUGGAUAACCUACCUAUAAGACUGGGAUCACUUCGUGAAAGCGGAUCUAAUACCGGAUAAUAUAUUGAACCGCGUGGUUCAAUAGUGAAUGACGGUUUUUCUGUCACUUAUAGAUGGAUCCGCGCCGCAUUAGCUAGUUGGUAAGGUACCGGCUUACCAAGGCCACGAUUCGUAGCCGACCGGAGAGGGUGAUCGGCGACACUGGAACUGAGACACGGUCCAGACUCCUACGGGAGGCAGCAGAAGGGAAUCGUCGGCAACGGGCGAAAGCCUGACGGAGCAACGCCGCGCGAGUGAUGAAGGUCUUCGGAUCGUAAAACUCUGUUAUGAGGGAAGAACAAAUGUGGAAGUAACUAUGCACGUCGUGACGGUACCUAAUCAGAAAGCAACGGCUAACUACGUG